UGGGGAAUUUUGGACAAUGGGCGAAAGCCUGAUCCAGCCAUACCGCGUGAGUGAAGAAGGCCUUCGGGUUGUAAAGCUCUUUCAGCCGGAAAGAAAAGGUUUCAGAUAACACCUGGAACUGAUGACGGUACCGGAAGAAGAAGCACCGGCUAACUACGUGCCAGCAGCCGCGGUAAUACGUAGGGUGCGAGCGUUAAUCGGAAUUACUGGGCGUAAAGCGUGCGCAGGCGGUUUUUUAAGCCAGAUGUGAAAUCCCCGGGCUUAACCUGGGAACUGCAUUUGGAACUGGAAGACUAGAGUGUAGCAGAGGGGGGUAGAAUUCCACGUGUAGCAGUGAAAUGCGUAGAUAUGUGGAGGAAUACCAAUGGCGAAGGCAGCCCCCUGGGUUAACACUGACGCUCAUGCACGAAAGCGUGGGGAGCAAACAGGAUUAGAUACCCUGGUAGUCCACGCCCUAAACGAUGUCAACUAGUUGUUGGGGGAGGAGACUUCCUUAGUAACGCAGCUAACGCGUGAAGUUGACCGCCUGGGGAGUACGGUCGCAAGAUUA
rnacentral:rRNA from 1 species